CUUUGGUCAAGGAGAGAAUAAUAUUUCAUUCGCCUCAAACAGUUUCGCUUUUCAGUUUGUCGUUGAUUUUCAAAAUAUACCACCGGCAGCUGCAGGAAAUUGGAGUUGAAGACCUGCCCAGCCACAAAAAAGAAAACAAUGAAGCAACUUUUUUUGUUAUUUUUUGAGAAGAUCAAAACUCACUCUUCAGCAUGAAUGAAGAAAAGGACCUUGGCAUGAAGAUGCAAAUCACUCAAACUUGCUAGCCAGUAGUAAAGCUAAUAGUUUUAGGAUGUUUUUAUAGACCAAUCCAGCACUGAGUACAGGAAGAAAGACAGUAAUGGUUUCUAACUUCAAUGAUACUGCUAAAGAAAAUGGAUUUCCUUCUAGAUUACAGAAUAGUCUGAUGGUUCUGAUACGUAUUAACUGCAGUGGCCCACCUUUUGCAAGGGAAAAGGGAAAACUGUUAAUGGGCUUCAGAAGAGGUUUAGUCUAACCAAGAAGUGUAGGAAGGAGAACCUCGUUUGUUGUGUGUAUGCUCUUGGGACACUGCAUGGCAUAUAUUAUAUUAACAAGAGAUUAAUCAUUUUUCUUUAGGGCUGCAUGCAUUUGGAGACUCUUAUGACACCAUGUGGGAUAUAGAGAUCCAAUUACUCUUCAUAUUUCUAAAUUUAAUUCUGAUUAUUAUUCUAAAGAUUAUCAAUCUCCUAAACAUUGUUCUGAAUGUAUUCCUAAGCGUAAUUGCUUGCAAAGGCUAAAAAAGAUCCAUAAAAAGACUUGAUACAUAUUUGACAGAUGGUAUCUGUGAAGUAUGCCAUAAUUUCCUUAUGGCUUCUAAGUCGAGUUGAACCUAUGUUUAUAUCCGAGUAAAGUUGUUGCUUGAAAAUGUUUUUUUAUAGUCAUAUUAUGUAAGCAUUUAAGCAACUAAAAACUUUGACAAAACAAUAAUUCUACUCUUAAGAGCAAUCUCAUGCUGGGAUAAAUUGUCCUGUGUUCUUAGAAAAUAAAUAUUUAAAGAUACUUUUAAAAUGUUACAAUUUCUGUAUUUUGUAUAAUUAAUAAAUGAAAUAUUCAAUUAAAUAUAAUGUUUAACAAUUUAAAUUUUAACUUUAAUACAGCAUUUAAGGUAUUGUAGAUAAACUAAAAGAUUUUAUGUAUUAACAAUAUUCUUGCCAAGUUUCUGGGAUAUGAAAGUGAUUUUAUGAUCUCUGUCCAAAAAGUCUUGUAAUGUUGAACAAAUUUGGUUGUACCUAAUAAGCUAUGAGUAUUAAACAUUGUAUUGUAACGUAAUUGGAAUAAAUGUAUUCAGAAAUGGAUUAAAGUUUUAAUAUCAAAUUCAAAGAGACUCUUUCAGUGAAUUUUUUUAACAUUUGACUAACAAUGUUUAUAUCUAAAACCUGGUCAUGUGCUUUGUUUCUAUGAAAAGAGCUUUUCUUAAAAGAGUG